rnacentral:misc_RNA from 1 species
AGUCUUGUGAAUAGGGCAGCCAUGAACUCAUUGUACGCCUUUAUCCUCUUUGGACUUUUACAAACGGGUUUUGUAGCAGCACGUUGGAGUACAUGGGAUGCUUGGGGCCACUGCAGUGUGACCUGUGGGACAGGAAUAAGGUACGCCCAUAGAACCUGUUCACAUCACGGAUCGUGCUCUGGGUCGACCACAAAGACCGGGCAUUGUUAUCACCACCACUGUCCGCCAGUUAACGGCUACCUAACAGCAUGGAGACAUUGGGGCUCCUGCUCAGCCACCUGUGAAGGAACCAGGAAACGAACUCGCUUAUGUCAUCCUCCCGAACACGGUGGGGCUCCAUGUCCAGGGAGUACUGUCGGAUACUCAGAGUGUGGCGCUUUGCACUGUCCAGUUGAUGGGCAACUUAGUGAUUGGGGACCCUGGAGUCAUUGCAGUGCUACCUGUGAAGGUCUGAAGAACAGGAAACGAACGUGUAUCCCUCCACAGCAUGGUGGUGCUCCGUGUACCGGCGAGACAAACCAAACAGCUAAAUGUGGGAAUGAACACUGUCCAGGCGUAACUUGUCCUAUUUGUAAUGAGAAUUUGGAAUGUACAUGGAACACCACGUGCCACAUGUCUGAGACCUGUUUGGUUCGAAACUUCCCAGGAUACAAAUUCUCAACGCACUGCAUCCUGAAAGACGAUUGUGCUAUCAUGAAAUUGCUGCCAAAAACACAAGAACGAAUUAUCUGCUGUGAUGAUGAAUCCUGUCUACAAACUAUUCUGGGAACUGGGCGCCUUAGUGAAUGGGGUGCCUGGGGUCAAUGCAAUGCAACCUGUGAAGGUUUUAAGAACAGGACUCGAACGUGCAGCCCUCACAAAGCCGAUGAUGUUCCAUGUAUCGACGUGACACAAACAGCUAAAUGUGGGACGGAACACUGUUCAGUGGAUGGGGAUUCAUUGGCCUGGGGGGACUGGUCACCGUGCAGUGUUACCUGUGGGAACGGUACCAGAGUGAGAUCCAGGGCCUGUAUUCCACCAAAGUACGGGGGUCUCAAUUGUACUGAACCGUUGUUUGAGAUGAAUAACUGUAGUCAAGUUCCAUGUCCAGAAAGAUGAUUGUGCUCUUAUAAAAUCGCUGGAUAAAACACAGGGAGUAGUCCACUGUUGUGCUGAUGAAUCGUGUCUACGGACUAUUCUUGGGGAUUAAAAAAGCAACAAUGUUGAAAAAGAUUUCUACCUUUUGAAUAUUGACUUUGUUAUAUAAAAUCAGGAUAGAUUACCAC